CUUUUUUACAAAAAUUCUUUCAAAAUUGCCCAUUCUUGAUAUUCUCUCUCUCUCUCUCUCUUUUUCUCAUUCCAAACACAUUCUUCUCGUUCACUCGAUAUAAACUCGUAUACGCAUUUAUCUCAAAUACUUCAUAAUUCAUAAAUUCAUUCUAAUCAUUUCUGUGCAUUUCAAAUAUUAUUUAAAAGGAAAGAAAAAAAAUUACCACUUUUAUUUACAAUUUUUCACAAAUCACACUUCACGCGUUAAAAUCGCGUAGAAUUAGAAUGCAGAAGUUGACGUACGAAAUCGAAACGAACCGAUUUUACCAUACAUAUACAUAUAUAUAUAUACACUCAUAUCGAGGGCGCGUAAUUAAAAUGAUCGGUCGGCCGCGUUUUAUCGGGUAGUAUGGCAAUUGGUGCGGUUUAAUAGGAGCGGGUCGAAUAUCAGGGGGCAGGGGACCGAGCGAGAUUAAAUCAGCUCGCGUUGCAAAUUAAAUUCGAAUGAUGCGCCGCCCGUUUAUCUUGUUAUACCUCGGCUCGGCCCGCGUUUCCUAAUAAUUGAAAUUUCGGCGGGGCGAGUGAAAAGCCUGCGCGAUAUGCCUCCCCGUGGUGCGUUUGGGGAGGAAGAGCGGGGUUUUACGGCGGUGUGCGUGGAUAGGCCUUAUUCGGUUAAUUCCGAAUUGGAACGAGUGGAGGUUCACAACGAUCCACACUUGCGGUUGGCCGAAACGUUAAGCACCGAUUGGACUUGGUGGUAUUGAUUCGAUGGCGUGCCGGUGACAUGGUUGGUUACCUUGGAUCCUGUUCGAGGACAACUGCGUUGUCAGCUGUUUCCUCGGGAACACGAGAAACCUCGCGAUUGUCGGGAUUCGGUCAAGUCUGUGUCCAUACACGGCGGGACAGCCGGGUGACGAAAAUUUUGGUAAUAGGAAAUUCGAGGAUUUUCACCACUUCGAGUACGGGAGGUGAAUAUUUUAGAAUUUUGUUAUUAUGAUAUCGCCGUUCAGGAAAAUUCUGAUUCCUGAAGGUAAUUCGAUAAAAUGAGAAAUUGAUAACGUUAUUUAUCAUUGGUGGAUAAAAGCGUUAUUAUGGAUUAAAUUGUUACAACGAAUUAUUUAUUCGAAUUUCGUCAUCAUCGUUCCGGUAUUGUUCCAUCGAGACGUAUUACGAAAUUGCCUCUGUUGGUUGGAAAUCUUGUAUUAACAAAACGUAUCGUAAUUACACAACGAAUUCGUUUUGUAUGCAACGGGGCAACAAUGAAGAUUUACCGUGUUCGUGUAUUUUGCGAUACAGUCCCGGCCGAAAGUAGCAGCGGGGAUUAUUCAACUCGGAGCCACGGUUUUAUUGUACAACCGUCAAUUUAUUUCUUACGCUCGUCGCCGUUUUCCAGCUUGGAAAAAAUCUUCAACCGUGGUGUACAUACUGUAAUCCUUUAUAUAACACAUUUAAUGCGACGCAGAAACUUUUUCGUCAAAGACAGGCUGGUGGAUAAAAUGCUCGUGAAACGUCACGUAAGGGUAAAUCGUUACACCGUUUACCAAUUAUUUAUAUAUCUUUGAGGUAAAAAGAUAAAACGUUUUCUAUUUUUUUUUACUUCUUUUUUUUUGCCAAUAUAAAAUCCAGCACCCGUACAAUCCAAUUAUCUGUUAAUUAAAUCAUUCUCGUUCGACAUUUAUUUUGCAGACGUCGACACCAAUUUUUCUUCAUCCACCGACAGAAUCGUAAUUAAACAAUUUUCCGGAACGAUAAAAUUCUACGUUGACGUUAUUCGAAACUCCAUCGAAUCUUCGUAAACGAUUUCGAACUUUUGCCCGGCAUUGUAUCGCGAAAUCGAUUGUCCAUGGAGGCGGGUGGAAAUUUCCAUGGGGAAAAAAAAAAAAAAAAAAAGAGGGAAGGAAGGGAAAAAAAAAAUCGGUGACAUUGCAAAAUUGCAACGUUCGUUCACUCGUAUCGAUGUUAAUCCCGAUCUAUGUGUUGUUAAAUGCGGAAAAAUUUCACAGCGAUAACGAAAAAGUACGGCGAGCGUGUCGAGCCAACACGGUUUCCUCCACCGCGAAAACGUCAAUAGCAAGUGUGUUGACCGAGUCGUGGAACGUUUCCACGCCGAUACGAGUCGAUCGCCUGAUAUUUCCCCAGUGGUGCAACAACGUGGCGACCAACCCAUUCACGAAUCGAAACGCGUGGCGUACACACACGGGGCGAAAAGCGUAUCGCGAGUGCUCUUCCUCGAUCGAAUUUAAACGCGAUAACAAAGUGCAAUCGAGUCGAGACGAGAAGGAAAGUGGCUCUGAAUGAAGCCAAACGGUCGGCUAAUUGAACGCCCGAUAGUUUCUUCCCUCCCACUAUUUACAGUGGAAAUAUUUGGAUUGAGAAUUCUCCGUGUUGAUCGAUGAUUAAUUCUCCGACAGUACGUUUGGAAAUUGUGGAAUAAUAGAGAGAGAUAGAGAGAGAACGUAGAAGUCUGAAACGUUUGUAUUGCAUUUAGAGUACUUUCUUCGAAGGGGAAAUUCUGUUUCAUCGAAUUAAAAUUUCGUGCCAACUUUAAAUUGGAGAAUAUAUAAGGGGAAUGUCGACUCGUUGGUAAGAAAGAAUAAAGUUUCCAAAAGGAUUAGAAUAAUCGGGGGAGAUAAGAUCGUUUAGAAAGAUGAUAAUUACCUUCUCUUCUCUAUCAUUUCAUCCUGACAUUUCGAACGACCAAUUUCGAUCGCGCCGAAAACGUUUCCGACGAAUUCACGCGCUUCGAUUUCGCGAAAAAUCCGGACAAUUAUCGGCGUUCACGGAAUACGGAAUUCCUCGACGCGGAGUUUCAAUCCCAGCCGACACAUACGAAUCGCGAUAAUAGAAAAUCAUUUCGAACUUUCGCUCUCUCCUUCCCCUCCGCCUCAUAAUCCCCGCAAAAUUCUCUUCCGGGUGGGGAAAAAAUCUUAUCAUCGAAGUGAUUCUCAGAGAAGACAAAACGAACGCAAAAUAAACCCGUCUCCCCGGAGAAAUUACCCAAAGUGGCCAUCCGUAUUCGACGCGCGGUAUUUCCAUCGAUAGAAAGGAUAAACUCGAUACCUGCUGCCGAUUUUUCUUUCCGAUUAAACGAUGCAAACGAUGAGCGCCAAGUUGAAUUCCUCGAAGAAAGAUUUUGGAAAAGUGAUGGUAAAAAAAUAUGGAAACUCUGGUUCAUUUACCCCUCCCCGGUGCGUUCGCGGUUUCGAGUUUGUUGCGACGAAACGAGGAUAAUCCUUGAUGGCGUGGGCGCAUCGAGGGGAUCAAAGUGCGCGCGUUAAAUCGGUGGCGUCACGAAAGACGGGGGUGGGAGGGUGGGAGGGGGUUUGGCGAAUUCUCUGCCAAACCGCUUUGAAUACCCGGGACACGGGCCGUGCGCAUUCGAACGCGUCAACGCAACAUUCCAGAGACCGCCUCGCUAACAAGGACAGACACUUCGACCCAUUGACGUCACGCCGCGUUUCUGAUCACGUUGCAUCACGUUCCAUCCACACGCGUUUACGAGAUAAGCGGAAUACCUGCGCGGGUUACGCACGUUCGACUUCUUUUUUUUUUUAAUAUGUUGAUGUUGCUCUUUCGUUCCAGAGAUUUUUCAACGUGGAUAAUUAAUCGUACGUUGAUUUAGUAUGCAACAUUUUUCUUUAGUAACCUCUGGAUGGAAUAUUUUUCAACGAUGGAUGGAUACAGUACCGUUGGAAACGAAAGAAAAUAGUGUAAAAGAAAGCUUGCGUGAAGAAAGCGUUUUUAAAUUUUUAAUUGCGCGUCGAGCAUGAUUUUUUAUUUAAAAAAACGAUUCUCGAAAACCGCGUGUACCAUUUGUUCUUGCGAACGUGGAUAAAGUUAAAUGGAGAAAGGAGAUUUUUUUUCUUUUUUAGAGAAAUAUUUCUCUUGAAUUAAAUAUUUGUUUUCGGAUGGAGAUGCUACAAGCGAUAAUACGAUUUGGAAUUUGAAUGAGGCGUGUUUAAGUCACGUAGGAAGCUCGGGAGAAAGAGAGAGAGCAUUUUCUUUAUGAAAAUAUCCAAGAACGUGGAAGAGAUUUUGCAAUGACUCGACAGAGAGGAGGAGCGCAUAAGGAAAGAGAAUGAUUUCGUAGGAUGUCAUUUAAAAAAAAUAAAAGGGAAGGAAGAAAAGAAGGUAGAUACUUGGAGUUGACUUUUCUCAGCCUUCUUAAUGAUCAUUAGAGUGAGACAAGUGCAAUGAUAUACUCGCUGGUUUAUUACGCAAGGAACGGUGUCACGUUUGAAACAAGUCUUAAAUUCAUCUUCUCGAUGAGACUGUCUUCUCAGACAAUGCAAAUAUAAGAUCAUUUCCGACGCUUUUAUCUACAUAUAAAUGUUGGAUAAUAUAUCUUGUAACGAGUUUGUACGAAUUAUUAUCACAAUGCACGAAAUAUAUAAUAUUAUCACAUAAUACACGAAAAAUAUUUUUAAAAAAAAUCUUGUAUCAUAAUGGAAGUAUUUGAACAGUCCAAAGUUACGUAAACAUAAAAUAUGGUUAUUAAAAUAUGUAUUACAGGGAAUAAAAAAAUCUUUUUGUUUGGAAAAAAAUUUGCA